rnacentral:rRNA from 2 species
GUCAGCGGCGGACGGGUGAGUAACACGUGGGCAACCUGCCUGUAAGACUGGGAUAACUCCGGGAAACCGGAGCUAAUACCGGAUAGUAUCUUGAACCGCAUGGUUCAAGUUGGAAAGACGGUUUCGGCUGUCACUUACAGAUGGGCCCGCGGCGCAUUAGCUAGUUGGUGAGGUAAUGGCUCACCAAGGCAACGAUGCGUAGCCGACCUGAGAGGGUGAUCGGCCACACUGGGACUGAGACACGGCCCAGACUCCUACGGGAGGCAGCAGUAGGGAAUCUUCCGCAAUGGACGAAAGUCUGACGGAGCAACGCCGCGUGAGUGAUGAAGGUUUUCGGAUCGUAAAACUCUGUUGUUAGGGAAGAACAAGUGCGAGAGUAACUGCUCGCACCUUGACGGUACCUAACCAGAAAGCCACGGCUAACUACGUGCCAGCAGCCGCGGUAAUACGUAGGUGGCAAGCGUUGUCCGGAAUUAUUGGGCGUAAAGCGCGCGCAGGCGGUUUCUUAAGUCUGAUGUGAAAGCCCCCGGCUCAACCGGGGAGGGUCAUUGGAAACUGGGAAACUUGAG